UACGUAGGGUGCAAGCGUUAAUCGGAAUUACUGGGCGUAAAGCGUGCGCAGGCGGCUUUGCAAGACAGAUGUGAAAUCCCGGGCUCAACCUGGGAACUGCAUUUGUGACUGCAUGGCUAGAGUACGGUAGAGGGGGAUGGAAUUCCGCGUGUAGCAGUGAAAUGCGUAGAUAUGCGGAGGAACACCGAUGGCGAAGGCAAUCCCCUGGACCUGUACUGACGCUCAUGCACGAAAGCGUGGGGAGCAAACAGG
rnacentral:rRNA from 1 species